AGUGAACGCUGGCGGUAGGCCUAACACAUGCAAGUCGAACGGCAGCACAGUAAGAGCUUGCUCUUACGGGUGGCGAGUGGCGGACGGGUGAGGAAUACAUCGGAAUCUACUUUUUCGUGGGGGAUAACGUAGGGAAACUUACGCUAAUACCGCAUACGACCUACGGGUGAAAGCAGGGGAUCUUCGGACCUUGCGCGAUUGAAUGAGCCGAUGUCGGAUUAGCUAGUUGGCGGGGUAAAGGCCCACCAAGGCGACGAUCCGUAGCUGGUCUGAGAGGAUGAUCAGCCACCCUGUACCUGCGACACGGUCCAGACUCCUACGGGAGGCAGCAGUGUGGAAUAUUGGACAAUGGGCGCAAGCCUGAUCCAGCCAUACCGCGUGGGUGAAGAAGGCCUUCGGGUUGUAAAGCCCUUUUGUUGGGAAAGAAAAGCAGCAGGUUAAUACCCCGCUGUUCUGACGGUACCCAAAGAAUAAGCACCGGCUAACUUCGUG
rnacentral:rRNA from 1 species